rnacentral:tRNA from 1 species
GUUUUAAUAAUUUAAAAAAAAUACUGGUCUUGUAAAUCAGAAAUGAAAUCAUAUCUUAAAAUA